UCCGGUCGCCCGUCGGCUCGCCCCGCGCGGCCGCCAUGUUGGGUGCGGCGCCGCGGCGAGGCCCCGCUAAGGCGCGGGACGGACCUGGGAAGUCCCCCAAGGAGCCCCCCCUUGCUCGGUGGCCUCCCCUCUUAGCUUUACCUCCAGCCUCUCUCAGCCUCGACUUCCCACCUGAGAAUGGGCGCGAAGCGGCAGGCGGGAGGCCAUGUGCAUCCUCUCACUGAGCCGGGCCUUUGCUCCUGGCCAGACCGCUGACAGCACCGGAUGGUCAGCCCGCUGCCGCCUGGGGGGAAAGGAGCAGCGCCUGGAGGACUCGCCAGGUCAGAUGUGUCUCGGCUGCACUUCCGGAGGUUUUCAAAGGAGAAGAUGGAUGGAGCUCCUGCUUGCAACUCCCCCUCCACUCGUUCCGCUGGUCCGGCUCUCAGGUGUGCACGCACGCGGACCGCAUCUGGCCCCAAGCCCCCCCCUUCCUCCCCGAGGCAUCUGUCAGGCGUUUGUCCGAGACAAGCAUGCCCAAACUUCCACCUGCUCAAAUCGAUGUCUCUCUCUAAAAUAAAUUUUAAAAAGAAAACUUA